CCCUUAGAUGUUCUGGGCGGCCCGCGCACUACAUUGGCACUCUCAAUAAGUUCCUAGAUCUAAAACUUUGGGGUAUUCUAUUAAGUGGUGUCGUGACUGGGAUUAACCCUUGCAAUUAUUGGCUACGAACGAGGAAUUCCUUGUAAUCGCGGUUUAUCAGCCCGCGUUGAAUGCGUCCCUGCCCUUUGUACACACCGCCCGUCGCUCCUACCGAUGAAUCGUCCGGUGAAGUUCAUGGAGUGGUGGUUGUUCCAGCUGCUGUCGAAGUGAAAUGGACCUCACGAUUUAGAGGAAGGAGAAGUCGUAACA
rnacentral:rRNA from 1 species